AGAGUUUGAUCUUGGCUCAGGACGAACGCUGGCGGCGUGCUUAACACAUGCAAGUCGAACGAUGAAGCCUAGCUUGCUAGGUGGAUUAGUGGCGAACGGGUGAGUAAUACGUGAGUAACCUACCUUUAACUCUGGGAUAAGCCUGGGAAACUGGGUCUAAUACCGGAUACGACCAAUCUCCGCAUGGAGUGUUGGUGGAAAGCGUUAUGUAGUGGUUAUAGAUGGGCUCACGGCCUAUCAGCUUGUUGGUGAGGUAACGGCUCACCAAGGCGACGACGGGUAGCCGGCCUGAGAGGGUGACCGGCCACACUGGGACUGAGACACGGCCCAGACUCCUACGGGAGGCAGCAGUGGGGAAUAUUGCACAAUGGGCGCAAGCCUGAUGCAGCGACGCCGCGUGAGGGAUGACGGCCUUCGGGUUGUAAACCUCUGUUAGCAGGGAAGAAGAGAAAUUGACGGUACCUGCAGAGAAAGCGCCGGCUAACUACGUGCCAGCAGCCGCGGUAAUACGUAGGGCGCGAGCGUUGUCCGGAAUUAUUGGGCGUAAAGAGCUUGUAGGCGGUUUGUCGCGUCUGCUGUGAAAGGCCGGGGCUUAACCCCGUGUAUUGCAGUGGGUACGGGCAGACUAGAGUGCAGUAGGGGAGACUGGAAUUCCUGGUGUAGCGGUGGAAUGCGCAGAUAUCAGGAGGAACACCGAAGGCGGGUCUCUGGGCCGUUACUGACGCUGAGGAGCGAAAGCGUGGGGAGCGAACAGGAUUAGAUACCCUGGUAGUCCACGCUGUAAACGCCCCCUAUGGGUGGGGGGCCACCCGUGGUUUUUGCGCCGUAGCUAACGCUUUAAGUGCCCCGCCUGGGGAGUACGGCCGCAAGGCUAAAACUCAAAGGAAUUGACGGGGGCCCGCACAAGCGGCGGAGCAUGCGGAUUAAUUCGAUGCAACGCGAAGAACCUUACCAAGGCUUGACAUGCACGGCGACACUGCAGAGAUGUGGUGGCAUUUAGUUGGUCGUGUGCAGGUGGUGCAUGGUUGUCGUCAGCUCGUGUCGUGAGAUGUUGGGUUAAGUCCCGCAACGAGCGCAACCCUUGCCCUAUGUUGCCAGCACGUGAUGGUGGGGACUCGUGGGGGACUGCCGGGGUUAACUCGGAGGAAGGUGGGGAUGACGUCAAAUCAUCAUGCCCCUUAUGUCUUGGGCUUCACGCAUGCUACAAUGGUUGGUACAGAGGGUUGCGAUAUCGUGAGGUGGAGCGAAUCCCUUAAAGCCAGUCUCAGUUCGGAUUGGGGUCUGCAACUCGACCCCAUGAAGGUGGAGUCGCUAGUAAUCGCAGAUCAGCAACGCUGCGGUGAAUACGUUCUCGGGCCUUGUACUCACCGCCCGUCA
rnacentral:rRNA from 1 species